AUUGAACGCUGGCGGCAUGCUUUACACAUGCAAGUCGAACGGUAACAGCACUUCGGUGGCUGACGAGUGGCGAACGGGUGCGUAAUACAUCGGAACGUGCCUAGUAGUGGGGGAUAACUACUCGAAAGAGUAGCUAAUACCGCAUGAGAUCUAAGGAUGAAAGCAGGGGACCUUCGUGCCUUGCGCUACUAGAGCGGCUGAUGGCAGAUUAGGUAGUUGGUGGGAUAAAAGCUUACCAAGCCGUCGAUCUGUAGCUGGUCUGAGAGGACGACCAGCCACACUGGGACUGAGACACGGCCCAGACUCCUACGGGAGGCAGCAGUGGGGAAUUUUGGACAAUGGGCGAAAGCCUGAUCCAGCAAUGCCGCGUGCAGGAUGAAGGCCUUCGGGUUGUAAACUGCUUUUGUACGGAACGAAAAGCCCUCUUCUAAUACAGGCGGGUCAUGACGGUACCGAAAGAAUAAGCAACGGCUAACUACGUG
rnacentral:rRNA from 1 species